CGGGAUGUAGCGCAGUUUGGUAGCGCACUUCGUUAGGGACGAAGUGGUCGCCUGUUCAAAUCAGGUCAUCCCGACCA
rnacentral:tRNA from 1 species